GGAGGUGUCAGGGCUCCUGGUGGUCCCCGCGGCCUUCAAAGCCGACGAAGCCGAGCACCUCGGCUUGGCGGGUUCGAUUCCCGUCCACCUCCGCCA
rnacentral:tRNA from 1 species